CAGAUCAGAUAGAGAAAGUGGGAGCAAAUAGAAGUUCAUGGGAACUUCAAGGAAAUUCUCAGAAAUGCCAGAAGUCUCCAGGAAUUCAAGUAUCCCCAUGACAACAUGAAACUUUGGAAUCUAUGCUGCUAUGCAGCAUUUGUGGAAUUGCACAGCAGCCUUUGUCGCAGUCUUGGUCUGGCUCUACCUUUCUCUGGACUCCAAACGCAGACUGUGGUGCUGGGAAUUACUUUAGGGCGUGGAAAGCCAAUAAUUCAACCUGUAGAGUUUAUUUGUUAAUUUAUUGUGAGAAAUACAAGAAGCAGUUAAUAAAUCCUACAGACAAGGAAGCAGUUGGAGAAGGCUGGA